UGCACCGGCAGCCACUUUUAAGAAUUUUUGAGCCCAUUUUGAAGAAUGCCAGUAAGGAACUUCUUCAAGGAAGUCACACAAGAUCUAUCUCCAUCUCAACGCCUUCAAAUAGUGGCAUGAUGAAAUUUGUUAAGAAGCAACUUAGUUGCAUUGGCUGCAAGGCUCUAAUCAGAGUUUCUUGGAGAAGAGAGUCCAGAUGUAUGUUUGAAUUCAUUCACAUUCUUUGCAGAAACCAGAAAAGAGUAUGAAAGGCCCUCCAUCCUUUUGCCUCUGGCUUGUCUUUCUCUUCCAUGGCUCUUCCUUGGCUUCUUAUGAUGGGCCUCAAUACGAUUUUUCUGCUUACACAAAGGUAAAUAGAAAGCACAUUGACUUCUUUUUUAGCGUUCAUUUUCAUUUCAGUUAUAUGUUUAGGCAUUGUUAAACCCCUUGCUUUUACAAACAUUAGGCAUUGUUUGGUAACGUUUUAUUUGUGCUUUGGUUAUAAAAAUUGGAAACAAAAACACGUUUGGUGAUUUUUUUUCGUUUUUUUAAUUUUUUAGUGACAACGGUGUCCAAAUUUUCUAAAAUUUUAAAAAUAUAUAAAAAAUUUAAAAAGAAAGAAAGUAUUUUCACUUAUUUUCAAAACAAUUAUGCUUGCAUUCCCUCGUCCCUUCUCCACCACCAUUUGCCACCACCCACGUUGGCCAUCACCUCUAAUCACCUGCCACCAACUUCAACCUCCCCACCUUUGGACACUGUGGGGAUAUAUUUUUUGAGUACCAACACGUGGCAAGGUGACUCCGAAGUGUCAGCCGAGGUGCCACGUGUCCUGGUCGUGACGCCGAGGUGAUCUCGGCA